rnacentral:rRNA from 1 species
UACGUAGGUGGCAAGCGUUGUCCGGAAUUAUUGGGCGUAAAGCGCGCGCAGGUGGUUUCUUAAGUCUGAUGUGAAAGCCCACGGCUCAACCGUGGAGGGUCAUUGGAAACUGGGGAACUUGAGUGCAGGAGAGAAGAGUGGAAUUCCACGUGUAGCGGUGAAAUGCGUAGAGAUGUGGAGGAACACCAGUGGCGAAGGCGGCCUGCUGGGCAGUAGCUGACACUGAGGCGCGACAGCGUGGGGAGCAAACAGG